rnacentral:rRNA from 1 species
AUUGAACGCUGGCGGCAGGCUUAACACAUGCAAGUCGAGCGGGGUGAUGGUGCUUGCACUAUCACUUAGCGGCGGACGGGUGAGUAAUGCUUAGGAAUCUGCCUAUUAGUGGGGGACAACAUCUCGAAAGGGAUGCUAAUACCGCAUACGUCCUACGGGAGAAAGCAGGGGAUCACUUGUGACCUUGCGCUAAUAGAUGAGCCUAAGUCGGAUUAGCUAGUUGGUGGGGUAAAGGCCUACCAAGGCGACGAUCUGUAGCGGGUCUGAGAGGAUGAUCCGCCACACUGGGAAUGAGACACGGCACAGACUCCUACGGGAGGCAGCAGUGGGGAAUAUUGGACAAUGGGGGGAACCCUGAUCCAGCCAUGCCGCGUGUGUGAAGAAGGCCUUAUGGUUGUAAAGCACUUUAAGCGAGGAGGAGGCUCUUUUGGUUAAUACCCAAGAUGAGUGGACGUUACUCGCAGAAUAAGCACCGGCUAACUCUGUGCCAGCAGCCGCGGUAA